ensembl:snRNA U4 U4 spliceosomal RNA
AUAAGAGUUCAGGGUGGCAGUAUCAUAACCAAUGAAGUUAAUCUGAGGUGUGAUUAUUGCUAGUUGAAAUCUUUUGACCUUUUUAGAGAUUAUGGUUCCUUAAAGGUGACAAAGGGGUGAAUGGUUUCACUAGAACCUCUGGUCUUAAUCUAUUA